GUGGGGAAUAUUGGACAAUGGGCGCAAGCCUGAUCCAGCAAUGCCGCGUGGGUGAAGAAGGUCUUCGGAUCGUAAAGCCCUUUCGACGGGGACGAUGAUGACGGUACCCGUAGAAGAAGCCCCGGCUAACUUCGUGCCAGCAGCCGCGGUAAUACGAAGGGGGCUAGCGUUGCUCGGAAUUACUGGGCGUAAAGGGCGCGUAGGCGGUCAUUUUAGUCAGGCGUGAAAUUCCCGGGCUUAACCUGGGGACUGCGCUUGAUACUGGGUGACUUGAGGGUGGAAGAGGGUCGUGGAAUUCCCAGUGUAGAGGUGAAAUUCGUAGAUAUUGGGAAGAACACCGGUGGCGAAGGCGGCGACCUGGUCCAUUACUGACGCUGAGGCGCGACAGCGUGGGGAGCAAACAGGAUUAGAAACCCGAGUAGUCC
rnacentral:rRNA from 1 species